rnacentral:tRNA from 1 species
AGCCCCGUAGUGUAGCGGUCAAUCAUUCGGCCCUUUGGAGGCUGAGACGGCGGUUCGAAUCCGCCCGGGGCUA